CCCGCCUGCAGCAGCAAGGGGGUGGUUCCUUGCCUGAAAAUGGCUCAUGCUGUUUGCUGAGCAGGAAGGACCAGGCCAAUUUCACCCCUGGAGGCUUUAGUGAAAAAAUUACCGCUAGGGCUCAGGUCCUGCAAUCAGCCCCUGUGCUAGUGGGGAGGGUCACUGAGGAGUCCCCCUGUGAGGCUGAGCCUGCAGGAGCAGGAGGAGCGCUCCCUGUGCCUGCAGCUGCUGACGAGGAGGCACAAACAACCCAAACAACUGUUCUAGCCGGCACAGAAGCCAGAACACACUGAAGGGCUGGAUCCAAAUGUCAAGAAUCUCUUUUGAUUUAGCAUCCUAAUUUGGGGUACUGACCUAAGUGCUUAGGGGGCUGGUUCUCCAAGAAGCUGGGCACCCACAACGCCCACUGACUCCAGUUCCUGCUGUGGAUACAGAUGGAACAUGUGCCCUGGAAUCCCCUAUUUUGAAGAAGUAUUUCAAGACAUACAGAAUUAGGCCAUUGUUUAAAAUUUAGACCUUACCGAUUUGCUCAUUGUGAUGGUAUUGAAAUGAACUUUGACUGUAUAGAUCAUUGUUGCAACCAAGGUCCUAGAGUUGCACCAAAUAUUAUACAAAGAAGGUCAAGUAAGAUGUCCAUGAAAAGGUUGUAAUUUGCUGGUUAUGGUUAUGCUGUCUGUAUGUGUGUAUCAUUUUUGUAUUUGAAGUUAUGAAUAGUGGCUAUCUGCUUGUUUCUCAAUGCGUUUAAUUUUAAGUAGCAUCAGUGAAGCAUUUGAUCAGCUUCUUGAGAAAGGACUAUUCUGAGUAAGUGCCAAAUCAAGAAACACUUAACUGACAGUGGACCUUGGGAGACUCCAAUCCACUUCUGAGGAGCCUUCCUGGGAACAUUCAAGACAGCAUGUGAGCAAUAGCUGCUCUACCAGCAAACUGAGUCAUGCAUGGACCUGUGACUCCAAACUCCAUUUUGCUGCUGUGAUUUUCCACAGUAAGAACAAAGGGAUUUCCGUCCACAUGGCAGAGGAUAUAAAAGGCCCUGGAAGCCCCUAUAUUUUGAUCUUCAGUCCUGCUUCUGACAUCUGGAGGAACUUUGCUAGAAACUGAAGCCCUGAAGACAGGACUGAACGACCCAUCCAAAGCUGUUUUGAUUGUACUCCAGAGACUUGAUUUGAGCUUGCAGUUUAUUCCACCACUGCUAUAAGCCUGAACCAAGAACUUUGCAAUUGUUGUAUGUAUUUGAUUCCAGUUAACCAAUUUUAACCCUCAUCUAUAUUUCUUUCUUUUUAUGAAUAAACCUUUAGAUUUU
rnacentral:lncRNA from 1 species